UUUAUGUUCAUUCUUUUAUUUUCCCCUUGUCUCAGACUAAGACUUCCCAUGAGAAAACCCCAAAACUAUUUUCUUCUCUUUCCUUCUCUCUUGCUUAAAUUGGAUGAAAUAGACAAAUCCAGCUCUCUGAAUUCUCUAUCUUGCUUUGUUUUCGCAGAUUGGUUGGCUAGCACUAAGAAAAUUCAUUGAUGAUUAAGGAAGCUCUGUUGGCUUUGAAUGAAAGAAGUGGGUCGAGUCCAUAUGCUAUAGCAAAGUACAUGGAAGAGAAGCACAAGGAUGUGCUUCCUCUGAAUUACAAGAAGAUUUUGGGUCUCCAAUUAAAGAACACUACUGUGAGAGGAAAGCUUAUCAAAAUCAAGGCUUCGUUUAAGCUAUCUGAAAUGGCUAAAGUGGAGAAGGUUACAACUACAACAACCAAGGCUGUGAAGAAACCUGAGGCUGCUAAAAAGGUUGUGAAGAAGGUCACGAAGAAAGUUGGGCCUAAGAAGACAAAGUAAUCUACUCCUGCUAAGCCUAAACAACCCAAAUUGAUUAAGUCUCCUUCUGCUAAGAGAGCCAAGAGGACCGUUGCUUGAGUUUGUAGAAAUUAGAUAAAGAAAAGUGGUGUUUGUUUUUAGAAAAAAAGUUUAGGUCUCUAUGUAUAUGAAGUCUAUGGUUUUAAUGAAGGAAGUGUUCAGGUUUGCUUAGUCUUUUUUGUUUGUUUGUUUGUUUGUUUAGACAUCAAUGCUAAAUGGAACUGACUUUUCUUUUCUUC